AGAGUUUGAUCCUGGCUCAGAGCGAACGCUGGCGGCAUGCUUAACACAUGCAAGUCGCACGGUCGGGGGGAGACUUCCGGCAGUGGCGGACGGGUGAGUAGCGCGUAGGGAUUUGUCCAUGGGUGGGGGAUAACCGCGGGAAACUGCGGCUAAUACCGCAUGAGGCCUGAGGGUGAAAGGCGAAGGCCGCCUGUGGAGGA
rnacentral:rRNA from 1 species